rnacentral:rRNA from 1 species
UAAUACGAACUGUGCAAACGUUAUUCGGAAUCACUGGGCUUAAAGGGUGCGUAGGCGGUCGCACAAGUCAGGUGUGAAAUCCCCCGGCUCAACCGGGGAACAGCGCUUGAAACUAGGUGACUUGAGUGAGGUAAGGGUACGCGGAACUUCUGGUGGAGCGGUGAAAUGUGUAGAUAUCAGAAGGAACGCCGGUGGCGAAAGCGGCGUACUGGGCCUUGUCUGACGCUGAGGCACGAAAGCUAGGGAAGUGAACGGGAUUAGAUACCCCGGUAAUCCUAGCCGUAAACACUGAGCACUGGAGGGGAGGGGCUUCGGCCUUUUCCCUCGUAGCGAAAGCGUUAAGUGCUCCGCCUGGGGAGUAUGGUCGCAAGGCUG